rnacentral:rRNA from 1 species
GAUGAACGCUAGCUACAGGCUUAACACAUGCAAGUCGAGGGGCAGCACAGUGUAGCAAUACACGGGUGGCGACCGGCGCACGGGUGCGUAACACGUAUCCAAUCUGCCCGUUACUCGGGGAUAGCCUUCUGAAAGGAAGAUUAAUACCCGAUGGCAUGUAUUUCCGGCCUCGGAUAUACACUAAAGAUUUAUCGGUAACGGAUGAGGAUGCGUACGAUUAGCUGGUUGGCGGAGUAACGGCCCACCAAGGCGACGAUCGUUAGGGGUUCUGAGAGGAAGGUCCCCCACACUGGAACUGAGACACGGUCCAGACUCCUACGGGAGGCAGCAGUGAGGAAUAUUGGUCAAUGGUCGAGAGACUGAACCAGCCAAGUAGCGUGAAGGAUGACUGCCCUACGGGUUGUAAACUUCUUUUGUUUGGGAAUAAAGUGAGGCACGUGUGCCUUUUUGUAUGUACCUUACGAAUAAGCAUCGGCUAAUUCCGUGCCAGCAGCCGCGGUAACAC